AGUAAUGCUUGGGAAUCUACCUAGUAGUGGGGGAUAACGUGUGGAAACGCACGCUAAUACCGCAUACGUCCUACGGGAGAAAGCAGGGGAUCUUCGGACCUUGCGCUAUUGGAUGAGCCCAAGUCAGAUUAGCUAGUUGGUAGGGUAAAGGCCUACCAAGGCGACGAUCCGUAGCUGGUCUGAGAGGAUGAUCAGCCACACUGGGACUGAGACACGGCCCAGACUCC
rnacentral:rRNA from 1 species